rnacentral:tRNA from 1 species
CGGGGUGUAGCUCAGCCCGGCUAGAGCACUACGUUCGGGACGUAGGGGCCGGAGGUUCAAAUCCUCUCACCCCGACAA